GAAAUGCGAUACGUAGUGUGAAUUGCAGAAUUCCGUGAACCAUCGAAUCUUUGAACGCAAAUUGCGCCUGAGGCUUCGGCCAAAGGCAUGUCUGCCUCAGCGUCGGCUUACACCCUCGCCCUCCCCUCCUGGGGGUUGGGCGGACUUGGUCUUCCCGGCAAAGGCCCUCCUUGGAGGCCCCCGGGUCGGCCGAAGCAAAGAGGCUUGAACAUGGACCCCGUUGUAGGGCGAUGGCUUGGUAGGUAGGCAAACUCCUACGCAACCUGCCGUCGUCUGAGGGGACUUUGUUGGAGGCCCAGCAGGAAUCCGGGGCCGGCUCUGCCGCCCGGACUUCAACUUUUCGACCUGAGCUCAGGCAAGACUACCCGCUGAACUUAAGC
rnacentral:misc_RNA from 1 species